rnacentral:tRNA from 1 species
AACGGGAAGUAGUUCAACAAGGUAGAACGCAGGGUCGCGCCCUGAAAUCCGGGUUCAAGUCCCGGCACCCG